rnacentral:rRNA from 1 species
CACGUAGGGGGCGAGCGUUGUCCGGAUUCAUUGGGCGUAAAGGGCGCGUAGGCGGCACUGUUAGUCAGGCGUGAAAGUCCUGGGCUCAACCUGGGAACUGCGCUUGAUACGGCAGAGCUAGAGGAUGGAAGAGGCUCGCGGAAUUCCCAGUGUAGAGGUGAAAUGCGUAGAUAUGUGGAGGAACACCGAUGGCGAAGGCAGCCCCCUGGGCCAAUACUGACGCUCAUGCACGAAAGCGUGGGGAGCAAACAGG